AUUGAACGCUGGCGGCAGGCCUAACACAUGCAAGUCGAACGGUAACAGGAAGAAGCUUGCUUCUUUGCUGACGAGUGGCGGACGGGUGAGUAAUGUCUGGGAAACUGCCUGAUGGAGGGGGAUAACUACUGGAAACGGUAGCUAAUACCGCAUAACGUCGCAAGACCAAAGAGGGGGACCUUCGGGCCUCUUGCCAUCGGAUGUGCCCAGAUGGGAUUAGCUAGUAGGUGGGGUAACGGCUCACCUAGGCGACGAUCCCUAGCUGGUCUGAGAGGAUGACCAGGCACCACGGAACUGAGACAAGGUCCCGACCCCUAAGGGAGGCAGCAGGGGGGAAUAUUGGCACAUGGGCGGAAGCCUGGUGCAGCCAUGCCGCGUGUAUGAAGAAGGCCUUCGGGUUGUAAAGUACUUUCAGCGGGGAGGAAGGGAGUAAAGUUAAUACCUUUGCUCAUUGACGUUACCCGCAGAAGAAGCACCGGCUAACUCCGUG
rnacentral:rRNA from 1 species